AUUCCCCUAAUAUUGUUCCCUGCCAAACUCUACAGUGAACCCAAUGUGCUAGAUGAAUCCCAGGGGCUUCAGGAGGAGGGUAACCUGUCUAGGUAUAGUGUGAUGCCCCUUGUGUGCAGUGUCUCACCAUCUGUGUGGCAGGGCUGGGCCUGCCUUCCCUGUUCAUCACAUCCAACUUGAUUUAUCACUAGGAUCUCUCUCUUUCUCUUCUCAUUAACUCCAAUUCACUAUUUCGUUCUGUCUUUCUCUCUCUCUCUCUCUCUCGGCUAGGGACAGUGAUGCCUGUCUAUGUUUUAUCACUUUCUGGGACUCAUGUCAUCUCCAAUGAGCCUCAUGGCGGGCCGUUCGAGCUCAUCAGCUCCGCUUGUGUGUCUGUCCUUCGGUUUUACUCGGCAGGGUUGCCAGCGUGCAGAGUGAACCAGGACAGCAGAAUCUGCUUAUCCAGCCACCACUCGGUCGUAAGAGAGGACUUAGGCAGCUCAUGUUGACCAAAAGAGGUCUGUCACUUUCACUGAGACCCUGCAGGAACCGGCUGGCAGAUCUCCCACUGCCACUCCCAGCCCCAGCAGUGGCCUUCCAGGGCUCACAGAGGUUGGGAAGCUGAGCCAUUCUGCAGGAGGAAACUCUCCUUCUGCCGCAUCAGAGUCCUCAUCACCUAGCAUCAUAACUGCCCAGCACCAACCAGCAUGGCCACAGUAUGAGAAUAAAGACAGGAAAGAUCAUGGGAGUGUAAGAAGCAGUCUUUCUCCAACCCCCUCUGCUGCUUCAAGCUCCAUUUCUAGAGCCUGCUCCCAUCUUCCUUCUCCCCUCCCCGUCCUAAGUACACCAUCCCGACUGGCCCCAACCCAGAUCAGAGAAAGUCCUGAGGAUGAGGAGACCACUUGACUUCUGCAAAACACGGACACCUCCCCUAGUGUAGGAGAGGACCGUGGCACGGAGAACCCACUCCUGACCUCCCUGCUCACACCCCAUGCUCUCUCUCCACUCCCCUUGUCCCCUGUUGACCUGGAUCUAGAUGAGUCUCACAUUUGAGAAUGUCCAGCUUGAAUACUGUGGUAGUUUAACAGAAAGUGGGAAAAGAUAUCCUGUGAUAUUGUUUCGUGAAUAACUUUAACUUACAUUUGUUUGUGAACUCCUGACCACAAGAGUUAAAGCAUUUUAAGCUAUCAUGGGACAUCCUCUGCAAUUAAUAGAUAUAUUUAUGAAGCACUGUGCCUAAUUCUACACAUCAAUGAAAGCUAAUUAUAAGUAUAGUAAUUCAGUCUUUUGUGAGAUAAAUUAUGUAAUUUUAAA